UACGGAGGAUGCAAGCGUUAUCCGGAAUCAUUGGGCGUAAAGCGUCCGCAGGUGGUUGAGCAAGUCGGCUGUCAAAGGUCACAGCUUAACUGUGAACAGGCGGUGGAAACUGCUAAACUAGAGUGCGGUAGGGGUAGAGGGAAUUCCCGGUGUAGCGGUGAAAUGCGUAGAGAUCGGGAAGAACACCAGUGGCGAAAGCGCUCUACUGGGCCUGCACUGACACUGAGGGACGAAAGCUAGGGGAG
rnacentral:rRNA from 1 species